UCUCUUUUUCUGACUGACCCGUCCAACAGGAAUGCCCUGGGUUCCUGGAGAUGUUCAAGCAGCACAGAGCCCAGGAGCUGAAGUGAGGAAGGGGCUGUGCCUGUGGUGUGGGAGUCACAGAUCAAUAGGGCACAAUUUACAGCUCCAUUGUGACCUUCCCCUAAAACCCGGGUCCCAUCACCACUGUUGGAGUUUAAAAGCCAUCUGGGAACUUCAGCAGGGACUAACAAGGCCCACAACCACUCUGGGCUGCUGCAAUCCCACCCUGGAGCCCUGCCAGCACCUGCACUUCGUCUGGGUGAGCAAACGGAAAUCAAACGCCUGUUGAAGGGAAUAAUUCACUGGGCUGAUUCUCAGAACAUACAGCUUUAAUGUUUUAAGAAAAAUUUAAUAUAAAAACAGACACAAACCUGGCCUGUUGGCUCCCACCAAGAGAAGAAUCUCUUGUUCUCAUUCUCAGCUGCAAACCUGAAGAAGGAAGCCUGGAAGAUGUUCCUGAAAUGGCCAAGCACGUUCAAAUGAGGCAAGAGCGCCCAACAGAGCGAAGAGGUGCCCAUAAAGAACCUUCCUGAACAUUACACAAAACCUGAGCCUCUUUAAGUAUUUUCUUUUCAUCCAACAGAUACACUAAUAAGGCCUUUAACGAGCCACUAAUGAAGCAGGAGAUGUUUUAGGCAACAAAAAUACGAACUUCAAGUGGGCAAAACUGUGCAAGGAACUGAAAGCGAAGCGGCCGGAGCGAGCAGCCCAGAGAUUCGGCUGGAUGAUCACGUAUCUUGCUACAGGUAUCACCAGCCUCUCUUUAGGCACCUUGUGGAAAGCCAGCUCACUGACACCAGCUGGAUCAGCCCAGGAAUUUGUUUGAUGUGCCUAAGAAGUUGGUAACAAUAGCUCCUGAGGUGGCAGCAGCGUUGCGAGGUGACAGCGUUCCCUUGGAGACAGCGAAUCCAUCGAUCGGGAUCCCGGCAGGUUCCCCCUCUCCAGAGGCCCUGGAACUCCCUCCCUGGGCAGGGCCAGAGAUGGGAAGAUAAGCCCUGCCUGUAGACAAAUAGCCCCGUGCAAGAUGUGAGGAUUUGAUGCAGCAGCCAGACAUGUCUGAAAGUUCCUCAGGUCUGACUACAAGCAAUCAGAAGUUCUUGAACUCCUACUCCUCCUGCUGCUCCAUCCUGAGGGAUGCCCACCAGAUUCUGCCAGUUUUACCCCAAAACAGAGGAACCCUGGGGCAGAACUGGGACCCCAGGCUCCCUUUCCCACUUCCUUCUGACUCCUUCAAGUACCUUGGCUGGUGUGACAUAGAGGAGCACGGUGUGAGAGGGAAUCAGCUCCUCUGCCCCCGAGUGAGGGAAGGGCCCUCAGAAGAAGAGCUGUUUUUCAGAAAAGAAGAAUAUACUCUGAAAAGAAGAAAACAAGUAACUGACACAGAGAAAUGGGAAAAGAGGCUGCAAGAGAACUGGGAAAACUGUGCUGUAAAACUUUCUCAUUAACACUUUGGACUGUAGCUGUAAAGAAGCCAAAUAAUCAUGUGCUGGCAGCUCACUGCAUUUAAUAGAUUUAAACCUGUGAUAAGGAAGGUGUCCCUGGCUAUGGCAGGGGGUGGAAUUGGAUGAAUUUUGAAUUCCCUGCCAACCCAGCCCAUUCUGUGAGGAUUCCAUGAAUAUUUAAACCUGGCUGCUGCACAGAACUUUGGUGCCAGCUGAGUUUAGAGGCCAAACCAAAAAGCCACAACCACCCAGUCUUGCUCCCUCCCCACACCUGGUAACCCCAGUCACAGAGGAAGGAGGAGAUGGACACCAAAUUCUUCCUUGAGAGAUGGUUUCUUUCUUCCUUUCAAAGAAUUAGGGAGUCCAUCACUCUGAUUCUGAGGUGGAUUUGGCACUUGGUAUCAACAAUUGUUACAAGAGCAGCAGCAUAAAAUGUGUUCUCCUUUUAACUGCCUCUGACUGAUUCAAUAUUUAAUGAUAUAGCUAUUACAAAGCAAAAAAAAAAAAAAAAAAAAGUGAUUUCUCUUAUUUUUUUCCCUUCCCAGGAGCUGAACCUUUCCUUCCAGGACCUGGGUGAUCUUUACCAGGUGGAAAACCUCAAAAGAAUCCUGCACAGGUUGAUUCGGGUGGAAAAGCUUUGGUUGGUGGACAAUUCUCUGACAGACCUCAGUGCCAUAAGGUUGCCAAGGUAGACAAAAUGUCCUGCUUCUAUUUUUAUGUAAUCUGUUCCUAUUUUUGUGAAACAGCCCAGAAAUCAAAAUUUUCCUGAAGUGACAGCUGGAGCAGGCUCUUGAGAGCUGCCAGAUCUGCUCCUGGGGGCUGCUGCAGUGAGAACCCAUCAGCUCAUUGCUGAAAAUACCCAGUGAGGAGAUCACAUCCCAUCCCCUUCAUUCCUGGGGAAUAGUUAAUGAGUCCAGCCACCCUCAGGGAGACCUGUGCCAAAAGGGGAAGGUGUUGCACACAGAAGGAAUCUCUGUGAAGAGAUGGGGGAGCACAACCCAAGCAGAGAGGCCAAGCACGAC